AUACGUAGGGGACGAGCGUUGUCCGGAAUUACUGGGCGUAAAGGGCGCGCAGGCGGAUAUUUAAGUCAGCGGUUAAAUCGUGGGGCUCAACCCCAUUCUGCCGUUGAUACUGGGUGGCUUGAUUGCGGUCGAGGUUGGCGGAAUUCGUUGUGUAGCGGUGAAAUGCAUAGAUAUGACGAAGAACACCGAUUGCGUAGGCAGCUGACCAGAUCGCAAAUGACGCUCAUGCACGAAAGUGCGGGGAUCGAACAGGAUUAGAUACCCUGGUAGUCCGCACAGUAAACGAUGAAUACUUGUUUUCGGCGAUAUAAUGUCGGAGGCAAAGCGAAAGCGAUAAGUAUUCCACCUGGGGAGUACGCCGGCAACGGUGAAACUCAAAGGAAUUGACGGGG
rnacentral:rRNA from 1 species